rnacentral:rRNA from 1 species
UACGAAGGGGGCUAGCGUUGCUCGGAAUCACUGGGCGUAAAGCGCACGUAGGCGGCUUUCUAAGUCAGGGGUGAAAUCCUGGAGCUCAACUCCAGAACUGCCUUUGAUACUGGAGAGCUCGAGUCCGGAAGAGGUGAGUGGAACUGCGAGUGUAGAGGUGAAAUUCGUAGAUAUUCGCAAGAACACCAGUGGCGAAGGCGGCUCACUGGUCCGGUACUGACGCUGAGGUGCGAAAGCUAGGGGAGCAAACGGG